UUUGAAUCAGUCCUAGUUUAGUUACAAUGGACUAUCAAAUCAUAAAAAACUAUAUAAAACAGAUAGAAGCGUUAAAACAAAAAACUUCAGUGACUUCCAUUUCGUCUCAUGUUUCAACAGGAAUUGAUAUAUCAACAUAGGCUCGAAAUGUGUACCUGGGAUAGGAAAUUAAGAAACAGGAGAGAUCAGCAACAGGGACGACAAAGAGCAACCCAGAUUUACUUCAAACAGCCUAAGAGGAAUAUGAAAAACUGAAUAGCGCUAAUAGAUCCCCCAUAAUAGCACCAAAAUAACCAGAAUUGAACCCAAUAAUCCACACACUUAAUGAAUAACACCACAGCCAACUCGACUAAACCAAAAACAAACCACAGUCUAUUCCAAGUGUUUCUAGAUUUCAAAUGUUGAAUAGAAAUAGGAUAAUUCCAGCUAUUUUCUGAUCCUAAAGGAACUAAUAAGUCGAACAAAGAGCUGAAAACUGAAAUAGGACCAAUGUAACAUUGUUUUUUGUAUUUUUUGUGACUUUUUUUAUUUUUUUUAAGAUGAGGAAGAGGAUUUCAGGUCUAGUGCAUAAUCUGAUUAUCUUCUGGAAACUAAGAAAUUUUAUUUGGGAAUUUUUUGUUGGUUGAAAAAAAAAACUCCCCUCUCAAGGCAUUAGUGAUGCCCUUUUAUAGGCAUAACUAAGAGCGUAUUAGAUUUUUAACUUUACAAAACAUUCCCUCCUUUUAUUUCCAUUUAAACCUCUAUUUAUUAACUUGUUACCCAAGUUAGCAUCCUUAUCUACUGCAAUUUACCUAAAAAACCCCAUCCAGAAGCUCCUACAAAAUUCUUUCUAAAUUCCCUACCCUUGAACUACCUAUUUUACCUCUAUGUUUAAACUAAAUCGCAACUAUAACCAAACAAUUCCCUAAGCUCUGAAUUAUCGACAUGCUGAAGAUUAAACCUAAUUCAAAUUAAGACUAACAAACUAAGGCUUAACUAAUUGAACUAAGACUGCAUUAAAACACGAAUACCAGAAGUCAAUUCAAACCAAAACUAACAAACUAUUUAACAGAUUAGCAAAACUUAACUGAGAAUCAAACUAAAUUCAGGGAUUGGAGCAAAUUAAGAUCGGACAGAAUAAAAUUAUCAGAACACACAAAAUGAAUUCGAACCAGAUAAAAUCCACUAAUUAAUCAGAACUCUUUAAAGCUAAUCAUGAACAGAGAUUAUGGAUAAUUAUAAAAAAAAAUGACAUAUGAAACAAUUACUCACAACUAAACAGAAUUAAACCAAAUUAAACAUUCAAAAACAGACAUGAAACUCACUGUCAAAAGUCUGGCCAACUCUUAAAUUUCCAAUCCGACCGUUUUCGGUGAUGUUUGAGUUCCAAUGAUGCUGAAAUGCUCAUGAGGGAGGGGAGGGGGUCACAUGGUAUUUAAUUGAAGUGGUUUAGGGCAAUUAGUCUUUUGGCCGAAAAAUUCAAAUCAAUAUUCGAACGGUUUCGUCUAUAUUCGAGGAUCAGGGCCUUGGGGGUUCGAUAGAGGACAUGGAGGCGGUCUUGUGGUGCAAUUUUUGUGGGGAACGGAGAGAGUUGUGUGGUGACAGGAAAAUCUUUGACCGAAGAUUCGACACAUUUGGCCAGGAUUUGAGGGAAACGGGUGGUGGAUUCGUAAUGGGGAGGAAAAUGGGAACCAGGGGUGUAAUUUUGAGGUCGUACUAUGACGGGCCACCGCCGUGGCGAUUUCCGAUGGUGCCAUUACAGGGUUGGCCUCUGGGGUGUUCUGAGGGAGAUGAAAUUGGGGGGUAGGGGUUUAAGACCGUUUUAUAUUAAUAAACCUAGG
rnacentral:lncRNA from 1 species